AUGCUCAAGCUCGACCUCACGCGCGCCUUCGACUCCAUCUCCUGGCUGUUCCUCUUUGAGGUCCUACGCCAAUUUGGGUUCGGCCAUCGCUUCCUCGAAUGGAUUGCCAUCCUCCUGUCCUCUGCGAGCACCCGGGUCCUGCUGAACGGCGUGCCAGGCCCACCGAUAUGGCACAAGGGUUGCGGCAGGGCGACUCUCUGUCCCCGCAACUGUUCGUUCUCGCGGUCGACACACUCGGCCGGCUGA
rnacentral:rRNA from 1 species